rnacentral:rRNA from 1 species
AUUGAACGCUGGCGGCAUGCUUUACACAUGCAAGUCGAACGGCAGCGCGGGCUUCGGCCUGGCGGCGAGUGGCGAACGGGUGAGUAAUGCAUCGGAACGUGCCCAGUAGUGGGGGAUAGCCCGGCGAAAGCCGGAUUAAUACCGCAUACGACCUGAGGGUGAAAGCGGGGGACCGAAAGGCCUCGCGCUAUUGGCGCGGCCGAUGUCGGAUUAGCUAGUUGGUGGGGUAAAGGCUUACCAAGGCGACGAUCCGUAGCUGGUCUGAGAGGACGACCAGCCACACUGGGACUGAGACACGGCCCAGACUCCUACGGGAGGCAGCAGUGGGGAAUUUUGGACAAUGGGGGCAAGCCUGAUCCAGCCAUGCCGCGUGCGGGAAGAAGGCCUUCGGGUUGUAAACCGCUUUUGUUCGGGAAGAAAUCCUCUGGGCUAAUACCCCGAGGGGAUGACGGUACCGGAAGAAUAAGCACCGGCUAACUACGUG